GCCUUCGUGGUGUAGUGGUCAGCACGCUCGACGCGUAUUCGAGAGGUCCAUGGUUCGAGUCCGGGCGAGGGCA
rnacentral:tRNA from 1 species